UGGGGAAUAUUGGACAAUGGGCGCAAGCCUGAUCCAGCCAUGCCGCGUGAGUGAUGAAGGCCCUAGGGUUGUAAAGCUCUUUCACCGGUGAAGAUAAUGACGGUAACCGGCGAAGAAGCCCCGGCUAACUUCGUGCCAGCAGCCGCGGUAAUACGAAGGGGGCUAGCGUUGUUCGGAUUUACUGGGCGUAAAGCGCACGUAGGCGGACUUUUAAGUCAGGGGUGAAAUCCCGGGGCUCAACCCCGGAACUGCCUUUGAUACUGGAAGUCUUGAUUUUGUUGGAGGUGAGUGAAAUUCCGAGUGUAGAGGUGAAAUUCGUGGAUAUUCGGAGGAACACCAGUGGCGAAGGCGGCUCACUGGACCUUACUGACGCUGAGGUGCGAAAGCGUGGGGAGCAAACAGG
rnacentral:rRNA from 1 species